rnacentral:rRNA from 1 species
GACGAACGCUGGCGGCGUGCUUAACACAUGCAAGUCGAACGGAAAGGCCCUGCCUGCAGGGUACUCGAGUGGCGAACGGGUGAGUAACACGUGGGUGAUCUGCCCCUGCACUUCGGGAUAAGCCUGGGAAACUGGGUCUAAUACCGGAUAGGAGCCAUUUUUAGUGUGAUGGUUGGAAAGUUUUUCGGUGUAGGAUGAGCUCGCGGCCUAUCAGCUUGUUGGUGGGGUAAUGGCCUACCAAGGCGGCGACGGGUAGCCGGCCUGAGAGGGUGGACGGCCACAUUGGGACUGAGAUACGGCCCAGACUCCUACGGGAGGCAGCAGUGGGGAAUAUUGCACGAUGGGCGCAAGCCUGAUGCAGCGACGCCGCGU